rnacentral:rRNA from 1 species
AUUGAACGCUGGCGGCAGGCCUAACACAUGCAAGUAGAACGAGUGGCGGACGGGUGAGUAAUCUCUGGGAAACUGCGCGAUGGAGGGGGAUAACUACUGGACACGGUAGCUAAUACCGCAUUCCAUAGCACGAGCCCAUAUGAGGUUAGCUUGUAGGGGGGGUAACGGCUCAACUAGGCCACGAUCCCUCGCUGGGCUGAGAGGAUGACCAGCCCCACUGGAACCUAGACACGGUCCAGACUCCUACGGGAGGCAGCAGUGGGGAAUAUUGCACAAUGGGCGCAAGCCUGAUGCAGCCAUGCCGCGUGUAUGAAGAAGGCCUUCGGGUUGUAAAGUACUUUCAGUGAGGAGGCGUUACUCUCAGAAGAAGCACCGGCUAACUCCGUGCCAGCAGCCGCGGUAAUUC